CCACAGGGUUAACCUGGUAAGGCCCCCAGCGAGAACACUGGGUUGAUAGGCCGGAGGUGGAAGUACAGCAAUGUAUGGAGCUGACCGGUACUAAUAGGCCGAGGACUUGCCACA
rnacentral:rRNA from 1 species